rnacentral:misc_RNA from 1 species
GAUGAAGAACGCAGCGAAAUGCGAUAAGUAAUGUGAAUUGCAGAAUUCAGUGAAUCAUCGAAUCUUUGAACGCACAUUGCGCCCCCUGGUAUUCCGGGGGGCAUGCCUGUCCGAGCGUCAUUACAACCCUCAAGCUCAGCUUGGUGUUGGGCCCCGCCGCCCCGGCGGGCCCUAAAGUCAGUGGCGGUGCCGUCCGGCUCCGAGCGUAGUAAUUCUUCUCGCUCUGGAGGUCCGGUCGUGUGCUCGCCAGCAACCCCCAAUUUUUUUCAGGUGGACCUCGGAUCAGGUAGGGAUACCCGCUGAACUUAAGCAUAUCAAUAAGCGGAGGA